rnacentral:rRNA from 1 species
GUGGGGAAUCUUAGACAAUGGGGGAAACCCUGAUCUAGCCAUGCCGCGUGAGCGAUGAAGGCCUUAGGGUUGUAAAGCUCUUUCAGCUGGGAAGAUAAUGACGGUACCAGCAGAAGAAGCCCCGGCUAACUCCGUGCCAGCAGCCGCGGUAAUACGGAGGGGGCUAGCGUUGUUCGGAAUUACUGGGCGUAAAGCGCACGUAGGCGGACUGGAAAGUCAGGGGUGAAAUCCCGGGGCUCAACCCCGGAACUGCCUUUGAAACUCCCAGUCUUGAGUUCGAGAGAGGUGAGUGGAAUUCCGAGUGUAGAGGUGAAAUUCGUAGAUAUUCGGAGGAACACCAGUGGCGAAGGCGGCUCACUGGCUCGAUACUGACGCUGAGGUGCGAAAGCGUGGGGAGCAAACAGGAUUAGAUACCCGAGUAGUCC